CUGAACAACAGAACUACAAAUUCAUCAUGCUUAUCAACAUGUUGCUCUUCUUAACUGGUCUGAUUUGUUCUCUUAUAUGUGGCAGUUUUGCAAAUAUCACGCCAGUCCAGACUGAAGUUUAUGAGAAAGAGGGAGAAAAUGUUACUCUGUCCUGUAACUACUCCUCAGCAUCAACACUACAGUGGUAUCGACAAUAUCCCGGAUCAGCUCCAGAAUUUCUUCUGGUCAUUAUACAGUCCACAGGAAAAGUUUCACAAAAGUCAGAUAUUGUGGAUCGAGAUCCUCGAUUCUCUGGAAAAGUGAAUAAAAAGAAAACCCAUGUGCAUCUUGAGAUCUCCUCUGCUAAAGUGACAGACUCUGCAAUGUAUUACUGUGCCAUGGAGCCCACAGUGACAGGAAACACAAGAACUCUGUACAAAAACCCUCUCAACACCAACACCAUAUACUGGUGA